UACGGAGGGGGCUAGCGUUGUUCGGAAUCACUGGGCGUAAAGGGUGCGUAGGCGGGUUUUUAAGUCAGAGGUGAAAUCCUGGAGCUCAACUCCAGAACUGCCUUUGAUACUGAAAGUCUUGAGUAUGGGAGAGGUGAGUGGAACUGCGAGUGUAGAGGUGAAAAUUCGUAGAUAUUCGCAAGAACACCAGUGGCGAAGGCGGCUCACUGGCCCAUUACUGACGCUGAGGCACGAAAGCGUGGGGAGCAAACAGGG
rnacentral:rRNA from 1 species